GAGUGAAACACCUCAGUGAUCUACUGAUGAACACACAAUUCAAGCUGGAGAAACUAGAUCUGCGUGAUUGCAGUAUGACAGAGAAACAGUGUGUCAUCCUGACUUCAGCUCUGAAAUCAAACCCAUCACACCUGAGAGAACUGAACCUGAGUCUGAAUGAA